rnacentral:rRNA from 1 species
CGAACGGGUGAGUAAUGCGUGACCAACCUGCCCCAUGCUCCAGAGUAGCUCUUGGAAACGGGUGGUAAUGCUGGAUGCUCCAACUUGACGCAUGUCUUGUUGGGAAAGUGUUUAGUGCAUGGGAUGGGGUCGCGUCCUAUCAGCUUGUAGGCGGGGUAAUGGCCCACCUAGGCUUCGACGGGUAGCCGGCCUGAGAGGGCGGACGGCCACAUUGGGACUGAGAUACGGCCCAGACUCCUACGGGAGGCAGCAGCC